GGCAGAGGCCUCGAGCGUUAGGCGGAAUCACUGGGCUUAAAGUGUGUGUAGGCGGGCCCGUAAGUGUCUUGUGAAAUCCCACGGCUCAACCGUGGAACUGCUGGGCAUACUGCGGGUCUGGGCCAACUAGGGGCAGCCGGAACAAGCGGUGGAGCGGUGAAAUGCGUAGAUAUCGGGAAGAACACCCGUGGCGAAGGCGGUUCUCUGGGACGGUACUGACGCUGAGACGCGAAAGCGUGGGGAGCGAACAGG
rnacentral:rRNA from 1 species